GGUGCUAUUCGAGGACAGAUCAGGGCACGUGUGUGCCAUCCUCCUGCCACCGCUGCUGGGCAUUUCUAACAAAUGGCCGUGCAAAAGGUAUCCUGCCGAAGCUGCGUGUGUCCCCUGGGACAUGCUGUGGGGCAGCGCCACUAAUUCACAGCUCUCCUGGAGCAGGAACAAAAUCCACACGAUGUACUGCUCUUACUGGUUACAUGGGAUGUACUGGUCUGUCCGUACGCUGAGACAGAAUCUGUAUGACUUCAUUUUGCAUUCAUCUAUGUUUCUGAAGGCACCUGCUGUUCAGGAGGCGUUUCUCUCUGCUGCUGAAGCUUUCUCGGAGCAGAAAAAAGUUUCUCAGUGUGGCAAGUGAAGCAAGUCCCCGGGGUGUGUGGUGCAGAAGCAGCUUCUGGCUGUGCUGGGGAUGCCUGACACAUUUUUGGCCAAGGGAAGAGCCAGCCAAAGGGCAGCCGGUGCCAGCGGGGCCGUGCAGAGCGGGUCUGUGCCCAGGCAAAGCAGCCACGACAGAACCGCAGGUUCUUCUCUUUAAUGCAGAUGUGCACAUCACAGUGUCAGGCACAACCUUCAAAGGGGGAGAGAUGGACUUCAGUUUGCUUGAGCCCAACGUCGUCGGCUCCAGCAACUGUGGCACCCACGGCAGGUCCGGACCCCUGUCCCGGUUCAGCACAGGAGGGGUUCAGCCGUGCUGGAAUUGUUCCUGGUCACCAGGGUCAGUGCUGACACUGCUCGCUCGCAGGACGGUCAGAGGAGCCUUUAAGGAAAGAGCAGCAGCCUCUCGUAAAGGCAGUGUCGUUCAACAAAUUUACCAUUAAAAAGGCCCAGUAAUGCCAAACAAAUAAAUAAUUUCUCCUCUACAAUGCAAA